CCCUUAGAUGUUCUGGGCCGCACGCGCGCUACACUGAUGCAUUCAACGAGCCUAUCCUUGACCGACAGGUCCGGGUAAUCUUUGAAUCUGCAUCGUGACGGGGAUAGAUUAUUGCAAUUAUUAAUCUUCAACGAGGAAUGCCUAGUAGGCGCAAGUCAUCAGCUUGCGUCGAUUACGUCCCUGCCCUUUGUACACACCGCCCGUCGCUCCUACCGAUUGGGUGUGCUGGUGAAAUGUUCGGAUCUGCCGUUUGUCGCGGUUUCCGCGUCAUGUGGCUGAGAAGUUCAUUAAACCCUCCCACCUAGAGGAAGGAGAAGUCGUAACA
rnacentral:rRNA from 1 species